UAAAUUGAAGGAAAGCUCUGACAAGGUGCUU
rnacentral:piRNA from 1 species